GAGCAAGCAGCGCUCUUAACCACUGAGCAUCUGCAAAUCCAUUUUUCAACCUUUGCAGAACUUGUGACCCCAUGAUGUAUGCCCACCCUUUUUCCUUGCUAAAUUCCUGAACCUGUGACAGAAGAUUGCCCUUUGCCUUACUAAAAUGUGUCUUCCCAGACACUUUGAUGGCUCCCCUUCCACAGGAUGUUUCCUUGCUCUUAUUUUUAUUGCCUCUUCUAACAGCCAAUUAUCCCAACAGCUGUUUUCUAUCAACCCUAACCUUUCCCCAUAAAAGGGACCUCAAAAACCAGUGAAGGAGUACUCUCUGAAAUCUCGACUAUGGGAGAGGUUGCUGGUCGGCCAGUUCUAAAUACAGCUUGCUUUAACCAGACUGCCAUGGAAUUGUUUAGAGGUUUACAGCUUGCCUGCUGAGAUAGCUAAUCUUGGUUGUCAGUUUGACCACAUCUGGAAUCCACUGAAACCUAAGCAACCGGGCACACUUGUGAGAGUUUUUCAUGAUUGGAUCAUGCGGGGUGGGAACCCCAUCCUGAAUCAGGGAUAUGUGAGGUAAGAACACCCACCUUAAAUCUGAGCCACACCAUCUGGUGGCAGCCUACAUAAAAGGACAUGGUAAUUAGCUGGUAUUAGAGCCUACUUCUUCAGGAUUCCAACACAGACUGAACACCAGCAGAGACAUGCAGCCUCAUGGACGGAACAAUGAACAGAUUCUUGACCUUUCCAUCAGGAGACAACCAUUGUUAGACUAGCUGGACCACAGCCAUGAUACACAAAACACGGUCCAGAACACAAGCUCCAGGAAGGCAGAUGUGGUAGUUUUAAUGGGAAAUGCCUCCAGAGAUUCAGCCCACAGUUGACCAGUUUCAGAGCCUGACCAGCUGGGCAGCACCGGAUGCAGUAGCCCAGGAUCUCGAGGUCCAUGCGGGUGAACCGAA